rnacentral:rRNA from 1 species
CCAGAGAACUUUCCAGAGAUGGAUUGGUGCCUUUCGGGAACUCUGAGACAGGUGCUGCAUGGCUGUCGUCAGCUCGUGUUGUGAAAUGUUGGGUUAAGUCCCGCAACGAGCGCAACCCUUAUCCUUUGUUGCCAGCGGUUAGGCCGGGAACUCAAAGGAGACUGCCAGUGAUAAACUGGAGGAAGGUGGGGAUGACGUCAAGUCAUCAUGGCCCUUACGAGUAGGGCUACACACGUGCUACAAUGGCGCAUACAAAGAGAAGCGACCUCGCGAGAGCAAGCGGACCUCAUAAAGUGCGUCGUAGUCCGGAUUGGAGUCUGCAACUCGACUCCAUGAAGUCGGAAUCGCUAGUAAUCGUGGAUCAGAAUGCCACGGUGAAUACGUUCCCGGGCCUUGUACACACCGCCCGUCACACCAUGGGAGUGGGUUGCAAAAGAAGUAGGUAGCUUAACCUUCGGGAGGGCGCUUACCACUUUGUGAUUCAUGACUGGGGUGAAGUCGUAACAAGGUAGGCGUAGUGCU